rnacentral:rRNA from 1 species
UACGGAGGGUGCAAACGUUGCUCGGAAUCAUUGGGCGUAAAGCGCACGUAGGCGGUCCAGCAAGUCGGGUGUGAAAGCCCUCGGCUUAACCGAGGAAGUGCAUUCGAAACUACUGGACUUGAGUACUGAAGAGGAUCGCGGAAUUCCCGGUGUAGAGGUGAAAUUCGUAGAUAUCGGGAGGAACACCAGUGGCGAAGGCGGCGAUCUGGGCAGAUACUGACGCUGAGGUGCGAGAGCGUGGGGAGCGAACCGG